rnacentral:lncRNA from 7 species
UCUGUCCUUAUCUUUGCUGACACUAACCACAUACAGUCUCUUCUUGCUCUUUGGUUUCUUCUGUGGGAAGUUGUAUUUUGACAUCGGAGAUAAACCAGCCCAAACUCACCGGUCAUCGUGAGAUUCCUGGGAACAGCAUGGUGAGGAGUCAGUGAACACUGCUACAGAGAUUUCCAGUGAUCACACUACGUUCCCUCAAGAAGCAAAUGACAACCAAGGAACUAUAUUCAUUUUACCACCAGAAACAUGACAGCCACCAGCUGCAGCGUAGACUAAUUUUCACAGAAAUCUUCCUUGGCUUCCUUGAAGCCAUUAAGUGCUUCAACCGCUCCAAAGGUAACCAGCUGCAGGAUAUUCUGAAUGACUGAAAACAUGAUCAAAAAACAACAGUGUGAGCCAGGGAAAACUCUGGCAGGAGAGCACCACCCACACAAAGAAAUACUUACUAAAUUCAUCUCGGAGACAGGAUAUCUGCUCAACUUAGGGGAGUUCUUUCUGCUCAGUGGGAAAAUCAACCGGAAGAUGUGCAGCAGUCAUAACAAGACAGAGCUUGUGCAGUAGUCAGAGUCUCACACAUCCUUUCCUGCUGGGUCCCCAACUCUUCCUGGAAGAAACUGAGGAUGGAGCCUUUCACAUCCAGGAUAUUACAUGAAAGUUGCACAGAAAACUGAUAUAUCUCCAAUGACUCACCUGCACCUUUGGAAAAGUCAGGUAAGUUUUAUGUACACAUUUCAUUAUGUUAAUAGCUGGUUUCAUUCUUUAUUUUCUGCUGCUCCCUGAAGUUUUCUCUUCAAUAUGUCUGUGAUAAAUAACCCAGAGAAGCAAUUUUACCCAUCUGGGCAAUAGUUAUUCAGAAAUUUUACAGCAUUUAUGUUUAUUUCAUGCAAUCUUGCACAAACACCUGGUAGUACGCACUAUUCAGGGUCACUCUGACAUUGUAUAAGCUC